CAAAUGGCCCUUUUCAGGGCCAACAAACAGAAAACGGUCCUUUUUAG
rfam:Aedes albopictus isolate Foshan contig63750, whole genome shotgun sequence.